rnacentral:rRNA from 1 species
AGAGUUUGAUUCUGGCUCAGAACGAACGCUGGCAGCGUGGAUUAGGCAUGCAAGUCGAACGAGAAGCCGUGUGUUCAAUCUUUCGAGAGAGAACGUGCGGUGGACAGUGGCGUAAGGGUGAGUAACGCGUGGGUAAUCUGCCUCUAAAUUUGGAAUAACCCUGCGAAAGCGGGGCUAAUACCGGAUGUGGUCUCUCGGCGCAUGUCGAGAUGAUUAAAGGUGGGGAUCUUUCGGGACCUGUCGUUUGGAGAGGAGCCCGCGUACCAUCAGCUUGUUGGUGAGGUUACGGCUCACCAAGGCUUACGGUUAGCUGGUCUGAGAGGAUGGUCAGCCACACUGGGACUGAGACACUGCCCAGACUCCUACGGGAGGCUGCAGUCGAGGAUCGUUUGCAAUGCGCGAAAGCGUGACAAUGCGACGCUGCGUGGAGGAUGAAUGCCUUCGGGUUGUAAACUUCUGUCAUGAGGGAAAAACGAGCGGGCCGUGAAUACCGGUUCGCUGUGAUGGUACCUCAAGAGGAAGCCACGGCUAACUCUGUGCCAGCAGCCGCGGUAAUACAGAGGUGGCAAGCGUUGUUCGGAUUUACUGGGCGUAAAGGGUGCGUAGGUGGUUUCGUAUGUCGGAUGUGAAAGCCCACUGCUCAACGGUGGAAAUGCAUCCGAAACUGCGGAACUUGAGUGCAGGAGGGGAGAGCGGAAUUCUUGGUGUAGCGGUGAAAUGUGUUGAUAUCAAGAAGAACACCGGUGGCGAAGGCGGCUCUCUGGAAUGCUACUGACACUGAUGCACGAAAGCUGGGGGAGCGAACAGGAUUAGAUACCCUGGUAGUCCCAGCCGUAAACGGUGUGCACUUGGUGUGGGGGGAAUUGACCCCCUCCGUGCCGGAGUUAACGCGUUAAGUGCACCGCCUGGGGAGUACGGCCGCAAGGCUAAAACUCAAAGAAAUUGACGGGGGCCCGCACAAGCGGAGGAGCAUGUGGCUCAAUUCGAUGCAACGCGAAGAACCUUACCAGGGCUUGACAUGGGGACCCUUCGGGGGUGUCAGCGAAAGUUGACUUUACCAUCACAGGUGCUGCAUGGCUGUCGUCAGUUCGUGCCGUGAGGUGUUGGGUUAAGUCCCGCAACGAACGCAACCCUUGUGUUUAGUUGCCACCCCCGCUUACCGCGGGGAGCACUCUAAACAGACUGCCCGUGCAAUCGGGAGGAAGGUGGGGACGACGUCAAGUCAGUAUGGCCCUUACGCCCUGGGCUGCACACGUGCUACAAUGGUCGGUACAGAGGGACGCAAGACCGCGAGGUGGAGCAAAUCCUCAAAGCCGGUCCCAGUUCGGAUUGGAGUCUGCAACUCGACUCCAUGAAGUUGGAUUCGCUAGUAACGGCGCAUCAGCUACGGCGCCGUGAAUACGUUCCCGGGCCUUGUACACACCGCCCGUCACAUCAUGAAAGCCGUCUGCACCCGAAGUCGCGGAAGCGUUUACGACGAAGCGCCGAAGGUGUGGGUGGUGAUUGGGAUGAAGUCGUAACAAGGUA